GGGCAAAUGGUCUAGGGGUAUGAUAUUCCUUUCGCAUAUCUGAUUACGCAAUUUAGGAAUGGUCCUGGGUUCAAUUCCCAGUUUGUCCA